rnacentral:rRNA from 1 species
GACAGAGGGUGCAAACGUUGUUCGGAAUUACUGGGCGUAAAGCGUGCGCAGGCGGUUAUGCAAGUCAGAUGUGAAAUCCCCGGGCUUAACCUGGGAACUGCAUUUGUGACUGCAUGGCUGGAGUGCGGCAGAGGGGGAUGGAAUUCCGCGUGUAGCAGUGAAAUGCGUAGAUAUGCGGAGGAACACCGAUGGCGAAGGCAAUCCCCUGGGCCUGCACUGACGCUCAUGCACGAAAGCGUGGGGAGCAAACAGG